UACGGGGGGGGCAAGCGUUGUUCGGAAUUAUUGGGUUUAAAGGGUGCGUAGGUGGUCUAUUAAGUCAGUGCUGAAAUAUCCCGGCUUAACCGGGAGGGUGGCAUUGAUACUGAUGGACUUGAGUAAAGUUGAGGUGGGCGGAAUUGACGGUGUAGCGGUGAAAUGCUUAGAUAUCGUCAAGAACACCUAUUGCGAAGGCAGCUCACUAAGCUUUAACUGACACUGAGGCACGAAAGUGUGGGGAUCAAACAGG
rnacentral:rRNA from 1 species